GGACCUGUGCCUGAAGAUUAAGGGCCACUUUGAUAGAGUGUAUCACGGAGGUUAAAGUCCUCCCAGGUCCU
rnacentral:tRNA from 1 species